rnacentral:rRNA from 1 species
UGGGGAAUAUUGGACAAUGGGGGCAACCCUGGUCCAGCAAUUCUGUGUGCACGAAGAAGGCUUCCGGGCUGUAAAGUGCUUUCAGCAGGGAAGAAGCAAGUGACGGUACCUGCAGAAGAAGCGACGGCUAAAUACGUGCCAGCAGCCGCGGUAAUACGUAUGUCGCAAGCGUUAUCCGGAAUUAUUGGGCAUAAAGGGCAUCUAGGCGGCCAGGCAAGUCUGGGGUGAAAACCUGCGGCUCAACCGCAGGCCUGCCCUGGAAACUGCGUGGCUAGAGUGCUGGAGAGGUGGACGGAACUGCACGAGUAGAGGUGAAAUUCGUAGAUAUGUGCAGGAAUGCCGAUGAUGAAGAUAGUUCACUGGACGGCAACUGACGCUGAAGUGCGAAAGCCGGGGGAGCGAACAGGAUUAGAUACCCUGGUAGUCUCGGCCGUAAACGAUGAUUACUGGGUGUGGGCAUGAAGAGUGUCCGUGCCGAAGCUAAUGCGAUAAGUAAUCCGCCUGGGGAGUACGGCCGCAAGGCUG